rnacentral:rRNA from 1 species
AUUAAUUGAAACUCAAAGAACUUGGCGGUUUUCUAAGCCUAUUUGGAGGAGCUUGUUAUCUAAUCGAUACCCCACGAGUAACCUCACCAGUUUUAGCUAAAAACUUCAGCCUGUAUAUUUUCGUCGCCAGCAAACCUUAAAAGAACGUUUGCUUAAAGAAAAAUUUCUAAACGUCAGAUCAAGAUGCAGCCAAUAAACUGGGGAUCAAUGAGCUACCUUAAUUUUUAACAGAGGAUUUUUUAAUGAAAAAAAUAAGGAAAAAGGAUUCAACAGUAAUUUGUUAAAGAAAAAAUAAAUGAAACAAGCUCUAGAAUACGUACACACCGCCCGUCACCCUCCUCAA